UAAGGAAUAUUGGUCAAUGGAGGCAACUCUGAACCAGCCAUGCCGCGUGCAGGAAGACGGCCCUACGGGUUGUAAACUGCUUUUAUAUGGGAAGAAACCUUGCCACGUGUGGCGAGCUGACGGUACCAUAUGAAUAAGGGUCGGCUAACUCCGUGCCAGCAGCCGCGGUAAUACGGAGGACCCGAGCGUUAUCCGGAUUCAUUGGGUUUAAAGGGUGCGCAGGCGGAGGAGUAAGUCAGGGGUGAAAGCC
rnacentral:rRNA from 1 species